GGAGUCCAGAUGUGGCCGUCCGCGCGAGUCAACGGCGGCUUUACGGAGAACACAGGAUGCACCGAUUGAGAGGCCAACAACAACGACGACGGAGACGAGAUCUGUAGCAGCGUCGAUGAAUCUGCUACUAGCAAUUGAUGUUCGUGUAUCACGAGAAGACGAAAAGAUGUUUGUGUAUCAUGCGGCCAGAGAUGGAGCGCACAUGCACGCCCAUCGGCAUUGAUCUAAGGCAUGAUUGACCUACACAGCUGAUCUGAAUCGUAUUAUACACACCGCGCAAGCCGGCGCCUGGCAGGGCGUUGCUUCCUAGUAGAUCAGGUUUUCGCCCGGAUCGGCUACAUCUACAAGGCUACAAGACACAAGGGACUUCGUCGACAAUUCUGAUAACGCCACACUGCAAUCAUAGGAUGGUUUGUAUCACGCAUCAUAAAAUGAUGCUCUAAUGUGAUGCACGUAUAUUUACAUUUUGAGUCUUUGUAUUUCUGCAGUGGAACAAUAUCAGUAUUUGAAGCAACUAUACUACUUUUUUGAUUUUAAAUAAUCAUGCUACUAUUUCCUGUAGUAUACUCUUUUCAUUAAUUAUACAGUACCUUUUUUUA